rnacentral:ncRNA from 2 species
UGUAUCAUGCGCCGCGUUGGUGCUCGCCGAGGCUCUCCGCCGAGGCAGUUCAACGGGAAUCAGGAAGGGCGAGGCCGUCACGGUGCGAGCCCCAACCUGAGCUGCCCCCGCAACGGUAAGCGGACGGAAAGACGGCCUCGUGCCGGCCCUUCCGGCCCGUGACACGGCCACUGGGACGGCGGCGCACCAGCGUCGCCACCGGGAAGGCGUCACGGACAGGUCCGCCAGCCCGGAUACCGGCCAACGAGGUGGCGUGCCG